rnacentral:lncRNA from 1 species
CGGAUUUCAGAUAAUGAAAUUAACCAGGUGUGCUACUGCGGAUACUAUGAAAAGAAGGUAGAAAGAAAAUUAGUUAAAUUAGUUUUGCAACUAGUGCAUUUCAUGCGGCUAAAAUUUAUCAUUUUAAAGGUUUUCAAUCGAGUAGAGUUAGGGUAUAAUGUGAGUGAGAGAACGGCGGUACGGCGGAAAUUGCGAGACGAACACUUUUGAGGUUUAGAACUGGUUUUCGAGUGUCAGUGAGGGGUACUGAGAGAGCGAGUGCAAUGUGGCCAGAGAAUGGGAAUUUAGAGGUAGAGAAUGAGCGUCGGGAUGGAGAAUGAGAGAUACGCCGUGGUAGGAAGGUCAAAACAGGUAUGGGGAGCUAUGUUCUAUGGCUGUUUAAGUAUUUUACUUGUGUUCUAUUUUUGGUUUGGGAUUGUAUGGUUGUGAUGAUAGUGAGUUGAAUUGGAUGUUUCUAUAAUUCUGAAGUAUUUGUAAAAGGGUAUGGUGUGAUUGUUGUUUGUCCAGUAUUGUUGAUCUCAAACAGAAAAUGUUAAACUCUGGAACCGUUGGUUGUCUCUAAAGUAAUGUUAAUCUGUGAAAUGUUGAGUAUUGGUCUAAAACAAUAGGUAGUCUAAAUGGAGUAACUUGUGAUUGCGUAAUUACUUGGCAGACUUUGAAAUUAUGUGAGAUUCGGGAACAUUGUAUUGUUUGGAAUAUUUUAUUUUAAAUUGAAAAUGAACUUAUAAGCAAAGAAAUGUUUAUUAUAUCAAUCAAUGCUCGGGUUGGAUAUUUUUAUAAUGUGAUUGUGCUUUCCGUGUUUGAGCAUGGUUGAUAUGCAUUUACAAACGACUGGGCAUGUGUUUAGAGUUAAAUUAAAUUAUGAAUGGCUGUAUGAACUGAAUUGAGUUAAACUGAAACCUUAUUAGGCAGUUCAGAAACUUGAUAAUGUAGUGAUCACAUCGUUCUUGUUCUGUUUUACUCGCCUGUUAAUCAAUUAAAGGAAACAGAUCUGUUUUGGGGUAGUAGGCGAAAGCUGAAUGAAGUUUUAUAAUGAGAUAUUAGGGGCUGGUGGGUUAUAAUAGGUUGAGAGUAACUGGGCAUUAGACGUUGACGUGCCAAGUUGGUUGGACAUGCUACUUGUUACAUGAUACUCAUAUAUGACUGGAUGAUUUGAUUACUUGCGUUUUCUGGAAUGAAUUUGAGUAAUAGUAAGUUUAUCAGUGAUUACUAGGUGAGACUUUGAUGGAAAAAUGGUUUUAAGCUAAGGCCAGGUUAUGCUAUACGUAUAUACUGUUGAAUGAAUGCACUGAUCUUGCCAUUUGAAACUAAUCAGUAAGACAUGAUUAAUUGGUAAAUGUGCAUGUUCUAAUCAUCCUGAAAGGAAAAUAUGGUUGAACUAAAUAGGAUAGUUUGGUAAUCUGAUUGUGAAGAAUGGAAAACUGAAUGUAUAAGGUCCGUUUACGAAUGGUUAAUUAUGUAUGGAGAAUGUCUCUCUGUGAAUGUUUGCCAAUCACGUAUUGGAUGCCAGGUUGCAACUGAACACUGUAGGGUGUAUUUGAGCAUGGGUAGAAUGUGUAAUUCUGCCUUAGGAGCAGAUUGAUAAAGGGUGGAGACGUUAAUUUGAUUGAGUACCUUGCAUCAGUUUAAAUGAUGUUUUAAAGUGGAUGAAUGCAUAACUGACAAUGUGUAAUAUGUAAAGUGGUUGUGGUGGGCGUGAAUGUUAUUUACGUGCAGAUCUCAGUGUGUUUGAUGAUGUAAUGCAGAUUUAUGACGGGUGUGUUAUGAUGAACUUGUUUUGGUAUUGCAAGAGUUUGCAACAUCACGUAUGGGGAUGAUGGUUAUGAACCUUACCUUAAAUUGUGACUGUGAUACUAUGCUCUGGGUUUUGGUAAAGUAUUGUAAACUGUUAAAUGUGAUAUGUGGCUGGUUGUAGAUAUUGCAAAGGUUGUACAUGUUUUAGGUUAUGUUCAAGUGAUCUAAAUUAGUCAUAUUGUAUUAUAAAUGAUCAUAGAAGUGUUAGAUUGAUUUGUGUAGUUUAUUGAUUGGUUUAAUAUGUUGCUGUGUUGUCUAUUCAAAUGGUCGUCUUUAGUAUGUAUUGGGAUUUUAAAAAAGAAUUGUAAUUUUAAUGUAUUGGGUUUCAAACAAUUUUGUAAUUGUGUACAUUUGGAUUUUCCUAUUGAGUUUUUUAAAUAUUAAAUAAUACUGGUUUAUUGUAUAAUUAAAAUCAAUUUAUUAUAGAAAUCAUUCUUGGGUUUUCGAAAUUGUUAAGGUUAAGUGACUUCUAAAUUUGGAGCGUUACAUUUGGUAUUAGAGUUAGGUUUUUGAAAAAAAAUUUGGACCGUGAGGAGUGAGUUCGUCUAGUUUCUAAUGAGCACUCUAAUUGUUGUAGAGUUUUAGGUUGUGAAUGAUUGAUUGAGAUGUAAUUGAUUGUUUAUGUAGUUGGUUCCAUACUUGACAUGAAUUUUGACCUUGAAAUUCCUUGAGUCUUUUGGAAUGUGAGUAUCAUGUGACUUGGGCCAUGCAUAAAGUUGAAUUUCCAUAUACAUAUUUGUCAUGAACCUGCUAAGGCUGGAUGGAUUAGUUAGUUGGAUGAGUUGAGUAUCGGGAGCUGACUUGUAUUUGGUUGUUUAGAUGCUUUGAAAUCUGCGUUCUUGUUUGUUCCUGAUUCGUAAUUAUGGUAUUGUUAGUACAUCGUAUGCAUAUUCAGUUGAUAAAGUGUGUGUCAUAUCAUUGAUUCUAAUUCUAUAAUGUUUGACGCCUUUAAGUUUUGUAAAGAUGACAAUUGAUUUGAAUUUGAGUUCUGGAAUUUGGAAGUACAUACUGUAUUCUGUUUCAAUUGUUAAACAAUGUGGAUUCUGGUUACGUGUUUUGAAAUUACUUCCUGGCUGAUAGCUUAUGUGGCCAUCUGAAUUUAAUAUCCUGCCAUGCUGGAUUUACUCUGUUUCUAUUGAUGUGUGUAGUAGAUAUGGACAAAUUCGUGAUAUAUGUAUAUGUUCUAUUUUGAGAAAAGAGAACUUUGAGUGUUAGAAUGGGAUGUAGAUGGUUAAACUUGGUGGACUGUGAUACGUAAUAUAUGGUGUACUUGAGUGGAUGGUUUGGUUCUUUUAAGCUGUAACAUAGUUUUCUUAAGAACUCAGAAAUUGUCAUGAAUGCUGUUAUGUGAUACAUUGACUGAAGAAUGCUUGACGUAUGCUUUAACUGGUUUGAAUUCAAAGCUCCUUGAAACUGUGAUAGUCUAGGUUCUAUAUUAAUAUAAGGGUCUUUUAUGCACAUGUCACAAAAAAGUCAGAAUUUGACCGUCUAGUUGGGGCGGACUAUUUGAACUAAACCAAAAUUGAAUGAAGAACUGCAUGUUACAAAAUGUUGUGGGUAGAAUGGAAUAAGGAGUUAUAUAAUGUUCUGAUAUGGGGGUAAGCUUUGCAUGAGAUGUAGGUAUGUAGAACAGGAUAUUGAAAUCUGAAUGAACUUAGUAUUUGACCCUAAAUCCUAAAAUGGUAUAAUACAAUUGUUAAUGACUCUCUCGGAAAUUGUUUUGACCUUGGUAUGGAAAUCUGAUUUUAUUUCUGAAAACAGAUUGCUUUGAAAUGUUAUAAUGUAUGCGUAAUAUGCUUGAUAAGAUUGUAUAUUGAGUGUAUGCAGUCAUUAUGGUGAAAUGCUAGUAAUUCUCUAUGUCCUGUAAUUAGCUGGGAUGAUUCUGGUGAAAUAAAGGGAUUAUUAGCUGAAUAACAGAUAUGCUAUAGUUGCCAUUUCAUGUGAGUAUAAGCUGUUUUCCAUAACCAUGAGGCAGAAAAACUGGCGGUGAUGUGUGGUUUUGAUAGAGAACUCUGCACUAGAGAACCUUGAAGUUUGACUUAAAUACUGCACCCAAAAUCCGUUUGUUUUGAACCCAAUAUCUUUCAUUAAAACGCUGCUGUUUUGCACUAGGCUUUUAGGCUCUUUUCUGCAUCAAAUAAGUGUUGUUCUGCAUUGUUGGCUGGCUGUUUAAGCAUUGUAUUAUUGUUGUUUUUACACUGUUUUAAUUACUGUUUCUGGACUAGAAAGUCUUGCUGUUUGGAUUAAAAUUUCUGCACCAAAACAUUGCUGUUUUGGUUAAAUUGCUGCAGGGAAUUCUUUGCUGUUUAGAAUAAAAAUCUGUAGAAACUAGGUGCUGUUUUAGAAUAAGUAUCUGCAGAACAUUGGUGCGGUUUUAGAAUAUAAAUCUGCAGAAAAUUGGUGCUGUUUUAGAAAGAACUCUGCUGAAAAUUUUUUGCUGUAUAAGAUGGCUUUGGAUUCAUGUCUGUUUAAUAUUAGGAAAAGAGUAUAAUAUAUUUCAAAUAGAAGUAGGCUUAACUCUGGAACAAUAAUCUGAUUUAUGUUGUUCAAAACCUUUAUGCAUACUAGUGUGUGACUUAUGGAUGUCCGAAUUAUAAUUGGCAUUAUUUCAGCAAAAAUAUGAUUGAAUGUGUUAUGGUAUACGUGUUGGAUGAUGGAAUACUGUCUUGGUUUGCCUUGACAAAUUUUCUUUGAGUAUCAAUGGGUAUACUAAAAAAUUUGCAUUACAACAUACUAAAACAACACAUUAAAACACAACGCCACUGUUAGAUGGUAGAACUGAAAGUGAUUACAAAUUGGAAAUGCAAAACCAAAGUACAAAGAUUGAAUAUUGAAAAGCUAUAUGUUCCUUCGACACAAAGGACAAGUGUGAUUGAUGUCGAGCCAUUUUUUGAUGCAGUGGUGAUGAAAGAUAUGAGAACAUGGGUGGGGUAUGCGAAUUGCUCUUGAUCCAAUUGCAAUUUCCUCAAGACAUAUACUGCAGGAAUCUUCUGUUUUUUCUUCAAUUAUAAACUUUUCAAGAUUUUUCAAAGAAUUAUAGUUGUUUUGCACGGAAUCAAAGAUCAAAACAUUAUCUUGGUUUGAUCUUAAACUUCUAUUGUUAUUGUUUUGCAUGUUGCUGCCACCCAAGCUCAUGGAAUCAAAGAUAUAAACUUCACCAUCUUCUUCACCUGAUCUUAAAUUUCCACUAUGGGCGAUAUUGCGGUGAUCCUGAAUCACAAAUUCGAUGAUAAAGCCAUCAUCUUCAAUUGACCACUGCAUUGUCAUUCCUGUUACACAAAAAAGAUAGGAGAAAUCAAAACUUGAAAGAUCGAAUGGGGUAGUUUAUUAAGAAAAGAGUACACAAAAUCAUUUGAAAAAUCUAAUAACUUGUUUGAUGUAGGAGAGUUCCUCACUUUGAGAUCACCUUAUACUAUAGAGUUAACUUUUGUUUUGAGAGUUUGAAGCUUUUCUUUCUUUUUUCUCACAAUGAAAUGAAUGACUCAUGGAAGGUAGUAUAUAUAAUAAAAUUUAAUGAAAUAUAAUAAAUUAAAAGAUACAAUCUUGACAACUAUAGUCAUAUACAAAUUAACGUAAUUAAAUAAUAUAUUAUUAAAUUACAUUUAAGUUGGUUUCAUGUAUAGUCAUUAUUCAAAGUCAAAUCAUAAUAGAUAUAGUAAAUUGAAAAUGAUAUUAGUUAGUUAGAUAUUAAUUGGACUCUGAGUAAUGUAUCUUGAUUAUAAUUUUACAUUUAAAGUAUAAAAAAGGAAACAUUAAUAAUAGAAAAAUACAACCUUAUCUAUAUUUAAUUUGAUUAUCAUAUACAAAUUAUAGUAAUUAAGUAGUAUAUUAUUAAAUUGCAUUUAAGUUGGUUUCAUUAUUCAAAAUCAAAUCAAAAUAGUUAGACUAAGAAUUAAAAGAUAUUAGUUAAUUACAUAUUAAUUAGGCUCUAAGUAAUGUAUCUUGAUUAUAAUUUUACAUUUAAAAUAUAAAAAAAAGGAAACUUUAAAAAUAGAAAAAGUAAUCUUAUAUAUAUUUAAUGUUGGCUGGCUGUUUCGGCGUGUUGUAUUAUUGCUGUUUUUACAUUGUUUUUAUUACUGUUUAUGGACUAGAAAGUCUUGCUGAUUGGAUUACAAUUUCUGCACUAAAAGAUUUUUGUUUUGAUUAAAUUGCUGCAGGGAAUUCUUUGCUGUUUAGAAUAAAGAUCUGCGGAAACUUGGUGCUGUUUUAGAAUAAAUAUCUGCUGAAAAUUGGUGCUGCUUUAGAAAAUAAAUCUGCAGAAAAUUAGUGCUGUCUUAGAAAAAACUCUGCUGAAAAUUUUUUGUUGUAUGAGAUGGCUUUGGAUUCAUGUUUGUUUGAUAUCAGGAACAUUAGGGCAUGACAAAAACAACCGAUCUUAACUGUAUUAAAACUGAACUUACAUAAGUGUAAUUGUCAUCCACUUUUUUCUAA